rnacentral:lncRNA from 1 species
GGGGGGGAGCAGGGGCAGGCCGAGACAGGAGGAGCAAUAAUAGCUGAGUCAGAAGCAGCGGAAGGACACCCUUUUCUUCCAGAAACACAUUCUUGGGUAAGCCUUUCAUCGGCCUGGGCUGAGCUGUCGGAGACCUGCCACUAAAUAUACAUAAGACACCUUCAGGCUGGAUUUCAUCUUAAGACCUCAAUUAAAUAUCACCCCGCCUUCCUGAUUCUUAUUAUCAAUAAUACCUCUAAUAUUCUUGUUAUUAUUUUGCAAACGACGUUUCGGCGGCGGAUGUCCCCUUGGAACUGCAGCGGGAGCCACGCCCAGGAGGGCGCUCACCUGCUGCGCGGAGCCCGGGACUUUGCCCCAUCCGCGUCCCUUGCCUCUUCCCCACUCCCCCUAGGCUGAUGGAUAUCCUUGGAUGUGGAGCCCUUUAAAAAUGACAAAUGCCUUGUCAGUACAGACCAUCCCUCCCCUCCUGCUUUCUAAUCUUUUUUUUUUUUUCGGAGCAAGGAUGGACCCAGACUCAAGCCUAGCGGCGCGGAUUACAUGGCCUGCGUUGUACCGUAAACGCCAAAACCUUGGCCUAAUUUACAGCUAAUAGAUCUCAAGCAAGGGAGUCGGGAAGAAAUCAGUGGCCUAAGGAGUUAGAUUGGGGCUUUGGAGGGAUCGGAAAUUAGGGACUGGAAGUAGGAUGUGAUUCACAUUAUUCACCGCUCCCCCCAACACACACACACACACACACGACCAGGCGCCUCCCGGCUCGGCCUUCGCGAAUGCGGCCCUUGGUUCUCCGCGGCCUGUGUCCCUGUCGCUCGCUUCCCUCCAUCGGGACCACACUGAGCGUCAGGGGCGCCUGCGAUGCGCUCAGACCCCUCGCCCUCCUCCCGGCUUCUCCCAGCCCCCGGGAGGAGGCGCUGGCGCCCGGGUCGGCCUCUGGUCCCUCCUCGUCGGCGUCCCCGGAGCCCCCAUUCACAAAGCCGCGCUUGGAGGAGGCGACACACACACACACACACACACACACACACACACACACAGACACACAGACACACACACACACACACACACACACACACACACACACACAGACACACACACACACACCCCGAAGAGGGGAGCUUGAUCUUGUCUCAUUGGUGUCUCGGGCCUGAAAGGAAAAUCGUUUGGGUAAACAGCCAAGCUUCCAGGCUUAGCGCCCGGCUCCCGCCCCCGCCCCCCGCCCCUCCGCCUCCCCCACUCCCCUUCCACCCCGCCCGCCACCCACACUCCGCUCCGCAGCCGGGCCCCGAGCGAGCUCCGCGCCGCCGGCCGGGAGUCCGGGGCUCACGAGUUCAAAGGGCCGCGGCCCCGAGGGGAUGCCCUCCUCGCUGUGCCCCGGGGGGCAGAAGCGGACCGCAGGGCGGUGGGACCGGCCCGGGCCACGGCCCCAAACACACUAAGGAGCCUUUCACGUAA